ACUCCCAGUCCACAUUCCCACAGUACUACACUACUACACUUACACAGUACCACACUCCCACACUCCUACAAUACCACAGUACGACACUCCCACAGUACUACACCCCCACAGUACCACACUCCUACAGUACCACACUCCUACAGUACCACACUCCUACAGUACCACACUCCCACAAUACCACACUCCCACAAUACCACACUCUCACAGUCCCACACUCCCACAAUACCACACUCUCACAGUCCCACACUCCCACAAUACCACACUCUCACAGUCCCACACUCCCACAAUACCACACUCUCACAGUCCCACACUCCCACAAUACCACACUCUCACAGUCCCACACUCCCACAGUCCCACACUCUCACAGUCCCACACUCCCACAGUACCAAUGUCGCCUUCAGAUGUACAUUUCGUGUACAACAAAACAUGGCAGCUGUAUAUUAAAUACAAUGUUACAUGUUCACCAGGACAGCAUGUUUUAAAACUAUUUUGUAGCUCCUCAUUGUUGGUCAGCAAUGCUUAUGGUAUUAUCGGCGCUAACUUUCAUUUGUACAAAACGUCCUUAAAAACUGGCACCUAAUGCCAUAUCUUGAGGCCUUCGAAUCCACUAGUUCCGAUCUGGAUAUGUUUUUUUUUUCCGUCAUGACACAUGACUCAAUGUGCGCCACUUUGUAGCUAUUACAUGUCCACUAACUGGGAACUCUUCUGUAUUGUUAGAUAUAAUUCUAAUAAGGUAAAACGAACCGCGUGGUAACAUAAACAUAGUAGUAACCAGCUUGAUUCAAAAGAGAUCUAUCUAUCAGCAUCGUGAUAGGGCUGUUCUUACGUCCAGAACCAAUCAAAUGAUAAACCAUGAGUCUCCACUUUUGUUGUGACAUCCUCAAAGGAAAAGGUAAGUUAAUCGAGCCCUUGGAUCUGGAAGAUGGAAUGAAUCAUAACUAGGGGAUUAUCAUGGUAGUCAAGGUCUGUUUGACGUACUGUCCCAGAAAAGCAUGUGAAACGCAUAUGCGCAGUGUUUACGAUAUAUGCCCCUGUCGAGUCGUCGGUUUUGUUGCUCAUGAAUCACAAGUCAUGCUACGCAUUGUAAAUUGUAUGUUUUUUAAUUCCUGUCGUGUCUACAAGCUUGCUGAUCGUACAGUUUCGUGUAGCUACAGUAUAAACAGUAAAUGAAGGACAGCUCUACUCAAGAUUUCCAUGUCUAUACCAAACUGUAAGGUUUCCUUGGUUACCCAAACUGUAAGGUUUCCUUGGUUACCCAAACUGUAAGGUUUCCUUGGUUACCCAAACUGUAAGGUUUCCAUGUCUACCCAAACUGUAAGGUUUCUAUGUCUACCCAAACUGUAAGGUUUCCAUGGUUACCCAAACUUUAAGGUUUCUAUGUCUACCCAAACUGUAAGGUUCCCAGGGUUACCCAAACUGUAAGGUUUCCAUGGUUACCCAAACUGUAGGGUUUCCAUGUCUACCCAAACUGUAAGGUUUCCAUGUCUACCCAAACUGUAAAGUUUCGAUGUCUACCCAAACUGUUGGGUUUCCAUGUCUACCCAAACUGUAGGGUUUCCAUGUCUACCCAAACUGUUAGGUUUCCAUGUCUAUACCCAAACUGUAAGGUUUCCAUGUCUACCCAAACUGUAGGGUUUCCAUGUCUACCCAAACCAAACUUUAAGGUUCCCAUGUCUACCCAAACUGUAAGGUUUCCAUGUCUAUACCCAAACUGUAAGGUUUCCAUGUCUACCCAAACUGUAAGGUUUCCAUGUCUACCCAAACUGUAAGGUUUCCUUGGUUACCCAAACUGUAAGGUUUCCUUGGUUACCCAAACUGUAAGGUUUCCUUGGUUACCCAAACUGUAAGGUUUCCAUGUCUACCCAAACUGUAAGGUUUCCAUGUCUACCCAAACUGUAAGGUUUCCAUGUCUACCCAAGCUGUAAGGUUUCCAUGUCUACCCAAACUGUAAGGUUUCCUUGGUUACCCAAACUGUAGGGUAUCCAUGUCUACCCAAACUGUAAGGUUUCCAUGUCUACCCAAACUGUAAGGUUCCCAUGUCUACCCAAACUGUAAGGUUUCCAUGUCUACCCAAACUGUAAGGUUUCCUUGGUUACCCAAACUGUAAGGUUUCCAUGUCUACCCAAACUGUAGGGUUUCCAUGUCUAUCCAAACUGUAAGGUUUCCAUGUUUACCCAAACUGUAAGGUUUCCAUGUCUACCCAAACUGUAAGGUUUCCAUGUCUACCCAAACUGUAAGGUUUCCAUGUCUACCCAAACUGUAAGGUUUCCUUGGUUACCCAAACUGUAAGGUUUCCAUUGAAAACGAUAUAAAAACAAGUUAUUGUUCUUAUACCAGAUAUUUUAAAAAUCGUUGUAAAACCGUGUACUGUUCAUUGCAUAAAUGAAUUAUUUAUUUGUAUUUUAAGAUUAUUUAACAUAUUACUUGUGUAGCGGAGUUAUAUAUUCAUUCUGUCCAGUAAUCAUAACUUAAUUCAUUGAGACAAAGUUUCAUAUAUAGCCAGACGCUCACGUCGUUUUUAAUAAAAAUGUUCAAACUUC